rnacentral:ncRNA from 1 species
CGUCGACAACGCUAUGAGCAAGAAGCCUCAGGUCGUGCAAAUCGACCCCACCGACAAGACGUUCAAGACAGACGGCUGCCAGCCGUGGCAAAAGAACGACGCGGCAAGCGUCGACCCCGGCAAGUCCCCGGCAGAAGUCAAAACACAGAUGGACAUCCUCAACGCGAUCGUCGGGUCGCACGGCGCGGC